rnacentral:rRNA from 1 species
AGUGAACGCUGGCGGCGUGCCUAAUACAUGCAAGUCGAACGGAAUUUAAGAGAGCUUGCUCUUUUAAAUUUAGUGGCGCACGGGUGAGUAAUAUAUAGCUAAUCUGCCCCUUGCUGGAGGACAACAGUUAGAAAUGACUGCUAAUACUCCAUACUCCUUUUUACCAUAAGAUAAAUCGGGAAAGAAUUUCGGCAAGGGAUGAGACUAUAUCGUAUCAGCUAGUCGGUGGGGUAACGGCCUACCGAGGCUAUGACGCGUAACUGGUCUGAGAGGAUGAUCAGUCACAUUGGAACUGAGACACGGUCCAAACUCCUACGGGAGGCAGCAGUAGGGAAUAUUGCGCAAUGGGGGAAACCCUGACGCAGCAACGCCGCGUGGAGGAUGACACUUUUCGGAGCGUAAACUCCUUUUGUUAGGGAAGAAUA